rnacentral:rRNA from 1 species
UCAGUGUGUGUGUUAGUGGAAGCGUCUGGAAAGGCGCGCGAUACAGGGUGACAGCCCCGUACACAAAAAUGCACAUGCUGUGAGCUCGAUGAGUAGGGCGGGACACGUGGUAUCCUGUCUGAAUAUGGGGGGACCAUCCUCCAAGGCUAAAUACUCCUGACUGACCGAUAGUGAACCAGUACCGUGAGGGAAAGGCGAAAAGAACCCCGGCGAGGGGAGUGAAAAAGAACCUGAAACCGUGUACGUACAAGCAGUGGGAGCACAGAGCAAUCUGUGUGACUGCGUACCUUUUGUAUAAUGGGUCAGCGACUUAUAUUCUGUAGCAAGGUUAACCGAAUAGGGGAGCCGAAGGGAAACCGAGUCUUAACUGGGCGUUAAGUUGCAGGGUAUAGACCCGAAACCCGGUGAUCUAGCCAUGGGCAGGUUGAAGGUUGGGUAACACUAACUGGAGGACCGAACCGACUAAUGUUGAAAAAUUAGCGGAUGACUUGUGGCUGGGGGUGAAAGGCCAAUCAAACCGGGAGAUAGCUGGUUCUCCCCGAAAGCUAUUUAGGUAGCGCCUCGUGAAUUCAUCUCCGGGGGUAGAGCACUGUUUCGGCAAGGGGGUCAUCCCGACUUACCAACCCGAUGCAAACUGCGAAUACCGGAGAAUGUUAUCACGGGAGACACACGGCGGGUGCUAACGUCCGUCGUGAAGAGGGAAACAACCCAGACCGCCAGCUAAGGUCCCAAAGUCAUGGUUAAGUGGGAAACGAUGUGGGAAGGCCCAGACAGCCAGGAUGUUGGCUUAGAAGCAGCCAUCAUUUAAAGAAAGCGUAAUAGCUCACUGGUCGAGUCGGCCUGCGCGGAAGAUGUAACGGGGCUAAACCAUGCACCGAAGCUGCGGCAGCGACGCUGAUGCGUUGUUGGGUAGGGGAGCGUUCUGUAAGCCUGUGAAGGUGUGCUGUGAGGCAUGCUGGAGGUAUCAGAAGUGCGAAUGCUGACAUAAGUAACGAUAAAGCGGGUGAAAAGCCCGCUCGCCGGAAGACCAAGGGUUCCUGUCCAACGUUAAUCGGGGCAGGGUGAGUCGACCCCUAAGGCGAGGCCGAAAGGCGUAGUCGAUGGGAAACAGGUUAAUAUUCCUGUACUUGGUGUUACUG